rnacentral:rRNA from 1 species
GACGAACCGUGCGAACGUUGUUCGGAUUCACUGGGCUUAAAGGGCGCGUAGGCGGUCGACCAAGUCUGGGGUGAAAUCUUUCGGCUUAACCGGAAAAGUGCCCCCGAUACUGGCCGGCUAGAGGGAGAUAGGGGCAUGUGGAACUUCCGGUGGAGCGGUGAAAUGCGUAGAUAUCGGAAGGAACGCCGGGUGGCGAAAGCGACGUGCUGGAUCUCUUCUGACGCUGAGGCGCGAAAGCCAGGGGAGCAAACGGG